GAUGAACGCUAGCGGGAGGCUUAACACAUGCAAGUCGAGGGGCAGCAUAGGGUAGCAAUACUCUGAUGGCGACCGGCAAACGGGUGAGUAACGCGUAUGCAACCUACCCUGUACAGGGGGAUAACCCGGAGAAAUUCGGACUAAUAUCCCGUAAUAAUAUCCGGAGGCAUCUUUGGAUAUUUAAAGUUCCGACGGUACGGGAUGGGCAUGCGUAACAUUAGCUGGUUGGUAAGGUAACGGCUUACCAAGGCUAUGAUGUUUAGGGGUCCUGAGAGGGUGGUCCCCCACACUGGAACUGAGACACGGACCAGACUCCUACGGGAGGCAGCAGUGAGGAAUAUUGGUCAAUGGGCGCAAGCCUGAACCAGCCAUCCCGCGUGCAGGAAGACGGCCCUAUGGGUUGUAAACUGCUUUUCCAGGGAGAGAAACUUACGCACGUGUUGCGUGACUGACGGUACCCUGGGAAUAAGCAUCGGCUAACUCCGUGCCAGCAGCCGCGGUAAUCUGUAGUCGUC
rnacentral:rRNA from 1 species